CAAUGUUGUCAUUGCAGCAUGAAAAACUCCAUGCUACUGGAUACAAGCCAGUUCUGCUUCGUGAAAAGGAGACCAAGAAGCAAAAUAUUAAGUGUGAGAGAUUAUCGCCUAUGCCCAGGACUACCUUCAGAAGAUCGGUUCUUUUUAUGAAUACCUUUGUGAAGGCUCGCAGCACUACCAUUGUAAUGACUGAACGAUCAUCUGGGAUGUCCACAUAGAGAGAGAGGUUGGACCCAGGAUUCCAGUGGCAUUAUGAUCAGCUGGUUACACUGCACUUCACACCCUGUGACCCACUGGAAAAUGCAAACAACUGGAAGAGAUGACAAACAUGGUGGAGCAGGCGACCACUACAGAGGGACAGGUGGAGGCAGCGAACACUAUGGAAGGGCAGCUGGAGCAGGCGAGCACUACAAAGGGCCAAGGUAAUUAAGACAGAUUUUAAAAGUUGCCAUUUAUAUCUGGGUUUCAAGUAUUUAACCUAUGGGUUACCUUAACGCUACCUGUUGUCCAGUGUUUUUCCCAUAG